rnacentral:rRNA from 2 species
CGGUUGAUCCUGCCGGAGGCCAUUGCUAUCGGAGUCCGAUUUAGCCAUGCUAGUUGCACGGGUUUAGACCCGUGGCGAAAAGCUCAGUAACACGUGGCCAAGCUACCCUGUGGACCGGAAUACCCUCGGGAAACUGAGGAUAAUUCCGGAUAACGCUCCCCCAUUGGAAUAUGGGGAGCCGGAAACGUUCCGGCGCUAAUCAGAUUAUGUCUGAUUGCGCAACGAGACGCUUCGCGUCUCGUCCGCGCCACAGGAUGCGGCUGCGGCCGAUUAGGUAGACGGUGGGGUAACGGCCCACCGUGCCUAUAAUCGGUACGGGUUGUGAGAGCAAGAGCCCGGAGACGGAAUCUGAGACAAGAUUCCGGGCCCUACGGGGCGCAGCAGGCGCGAAACCUUUACACUGCACGACAGUGCGAUAGGGGGACUCCGAGUGCGAGGGCAUAGAGCCCUCGCUUUUCUGUACCGUAAGGUGGUACAGGAAGAAGGGCUGGGCAAGACCGGUGCCAGCCGCCGCGGUAAUACCGGCAGCCCAAGUGAUGGCCGAUAUUAUUGGGCCUAAAGCGUCCGUAGCUGGCCGGACAAGUCCGUUGGGAAAUCCGCACGCUUAACGUGCGGGCGUCCAGCGGAAACUGUCCGGCUUGGGACCGGAAGACCCGAGGGGUACGUCCGGGGUAGGAGUGAAAUCCUGUAAUCUCGGACGGACCACCUGUGGCGAAAGCGCCUCGGGAAGACGGAUCCGACAGUGAGGGACGAAAGCCAGGGUCUCGAACCGGAUUAGAUACCCGGGUAGUCCUGGCCGUAAACGAUGUCCGCUAGGUGUGACGCAGGCUACGAGCCUGCGUUGUGCCGUAGGGAAGCCGUGAAGCGGACCGCCUGGGAAGUACGUCUGCAAGGAUGAAACUUAAAGGAAUUGGCGGGGGAGCAC